GGAGUUUGGUCCGUGUCUCAGUACCAAUGUGGGGGACCUUCCUCUCAGAACCCCUACUGAUCGACGGCUUGGUGGGCCGUUACCCCGCCAACAACCUAAUCAGACGCAUCCCCAUCCCAUAGCGAUAAAUCUUUGCUCCAUCUCAGAUGCCCUCAAAGGAGAACAUAGGGCAUUAAUCCGACUUUCGCCGGGCUGUUCCCUACUAUGGGCCAGGUUGGAUACGCGUUACUCACCCGUGCGCCGGUCGCCAUCAGCCUUAGCAAGCUAAGACCAUGCUGCCCCUCGACUUGCAUGUGUUAAGCCUGUAGCUAGCGUUCAUC
rnacentral:rRNA from 1 species